CCUACGGGAGGCAGCAGUGAGGAAUAUUGGUCAAUGGGCGGGAGCCUGAACCAGCCAAGCCGCGUGAGGGAAGAAGGUACAGCGUAUCGUAAACCUCUUUUGUCAGGGAACAAAGGCGGGGACUAGUCCCCGGAUGAGGGUACCUGAAGAAAAAGCAUCGGCUAACUCCGUGCCAGCAGCCGCGGUAAUACGGGGGAUGCGAGCGUUAUCCGGAUUGAUUGGGUUUAAAGGGUGCGCAGGCGGCCUGUUAAGUCAGCGGUAAAAGCCCGGGGCUCAACCCCGGCGAGCCGUUGAAACUGGCGGGCUGGAGUUGGAGAGAAGUACGCGGAAUGCGCGGGGUAGCGGUGAAAUGCUUAGAUAUCGCGCAGAACCCCGAUUGCGAAGGCAGCGUACCGGCGCCACACUGACGCUGAGGCACGAAAGCGUGGGUAUCGAACAGGAUUAGAUACCCGAGUAGUC
rnacentral:rRNA from 1 species